GAUGAACGCUGGCGGCGUGCCUAAUACAUGCAAGUCGAGCGAAGCGGGGACGGGUGAGUAACACGUGGAUAACCUCCUAUAAGACUGGGAUACCUUCGGGAAACCUGAGCUAUACCGGAUACUUCUAGUUGGAGCUGCGCUGCAUUAGCUAGUUGGUAAGGUAACGGCUUACCAAGGCAACGUUGCAUAGCCGACCUGAGAGGGUGAUCGGCCACACUGGAACUGAGGCACGGGCCAGACUCCUACGGGAGGCAGCAGUAGGGAAUAUUCCGCAAGGGGCGAAAGCCUGACGGAGCGAUGCCGCGUGAGUGAUGAAGGUCUUAGGAUCGUAAAGCUCUGUUAUUAGGGAAGCGGUACCUAAUCAGAAAGCCACGGCUAACUACGUGCCAGCCGCCGCGGUAAUUC
rnacentral:rRNA from 1 species